CCUACGGGAGGCAGCAGUGGGGAAUCUUGCGCAAUGGGGGAAACCCUGACGCAGCGACGCCGCGUGGGUGAUGAAGGCCUUCGGGUCGUAAAGCCCUGUCAGGUGGGAAGAAACAUAUCGGUGUUAAUACCAUCGAUAUCUGACGGUACCACCGGAGGAAGCACCGGCUAACUCCGUGCCAGCAGCCGCGGUAAUACGGAGGGUGCAAGCGUUGUUCGGAAUUACUGGGCGUAAAGGGCGUGUAGGUGGUCAGGCAAGUCAGAUGUAAAAUCCUUCCGCUCAACGGAAGAAGUGCAUUUGAAACUACCUGGCUAGAGUACGGGAGAGGAGAGUGGAAUUCCCGGUGUAGGGGUGAAAUUCGUAGAUAUCGGGAGGAACACCAGUGGCGAAGGCGGCUCUCUGGCCCGAUACUGACCCUGAAACGCGAAAGCGUGGGGAGCAAACAGGAUUAGAUCCCCUUGUAGU
rnacentral:rRNA from 1 species